ACGGGAGGCAGCAGUAGGGAAUAUUGCACAAUGGGGGGAACCCUGAUGCAGCAACGCCACGUGUGGGAAGAAGCAUUUCGGUGUGUAAACCACUGUCGUGAGGGAAUAAUGCUUGGUCUCGGCCAAGUUGAAUGUACCUCGAAAGGAAGCACCGGCAAACUUCGUGCCAGCAGCCGCGGUAAUACGAGGGGUGCAAGCGUUGUUCGGAAUCACUGGGCGUAAAGGGAGCGUAGGCGGAGACGCAAGCAGUCUGUACAAUACCGGGGCCCAACCCCGGACCUGCAGACUGGACUGUGUCUCUUGGAUAGCUCAGGGGCUGGCGGAAUUCCUGGUGUAGCGGUGGAAUGCGUAGAGAUCAGGAAGAACACCGAUGGCGAAGGCAGCCAGCUGGGGGCUUAUCGACGCUCAUGCUCGAAAGCGCGGGUAGCAAACAGGAUUAGAUACCCUGGUA
rnacentral:rRNA from 1 species